rnacentral:misc_RNA from 1 species
GACGGAGGGUGCUAGCGUUGUUCGGAAUCACUGGGCGUAAAGGGCGCGUAGGCGGCCUGGGAAGUCGGCUUGUGAAAGCCCGGGGCUCAACCCCGGAGGUGCGGCCGAUACUCCCUGGCUCGAGGCCGGAAGAGGAGGGUGGAAUACCCAGUGUAGAGGUGAAAUUCGUAGAUAUUGGGUGGAACACCGGUGGCGAAAGCGGCUCUCUGGUCCGGUCCUGACGCUGAGGCGCGAAAGCGUGGGGAGCAAACAGG